CGAUAUAAGCUGGGGUGCCGUUUGGCUGAGAAAUACCCAUAUCACCUGAUCUGGUUAAUACCAGCGGAGGGAGCUUAGCAUUUUUUCGU
rfam:Lactobacillus animalis strain 381-IL-28 NODE_17_length_135193_cov_29.770218, whole genome shotgun sequence.